UGGAAAUAGAUUGGGAAGAGCCAUAUGAUACAAGUAUGUAUCAUUUCAGGGAACACGUGGCUCCAGCAAGAGAGAGUAAGAGCUUGAGUGAAGCUCACAAAACCAGAGCCUAUUGCAGAAGUGGUGCAAGAAGCAGGACAAGUACAUCAACAAGCUCAUAAAGGGUAUGAAGUCUCUGAAGUCCAUAGUUAGCUGCUCUUCUUCCAGCACAGCAGUACCA
rnacentral:pre_miRNA from 1 species